GGACUUACUCUUCGGAGUGAGAGCGUACACAGGUGCUGCAUGGCUGUCGUCAGCUCGUGUCGUGAGAUGUUGGGUUAAGUCCCGCAACGAGCGCAACCCUGCAUUCAGUUGCCAUCGGUAAGGCCGGGCACUCUGGAUGGACUGCCGGCGACAAGCCGGAGGAAGUGGGGACGACAUCAAGUCAUCAUGGCCCUUAUGUCCAGGGCGACACACGUGCUACAAUGGCCGGCACAACGGGAAGCGAAGGGGCGACCCUGAGCGGAUCCCACAAAAGCCGGUCCCAGUUCGGAUUGCAGUCUGCAACUCGACUGCAUGAAGUUGGAAUCGCUAGUAAUCGUGGAUCAGCCAAGCCGCGGUGAAUACGUUCCCGGGCCUU
rnacentral:rRNA from 1 species